rnacentral:rRNA from 1 species
GACGAACGCUGGCGGCGUGCCUAACACAUGCAAGUCGAACGGAAAGGCCCUUCGGGGUACUCGAGUGGCGAACGGGUGAGUAACACGUGGGUGAUCUGCCCUGCACUUUGGGAUAAGCCUGGGAAACUGGGUCUAAUACCGAAUAGGACCACGCGCUUCAUGGUGUGUGGUGGAAAGCUUUUGCGGUGUGGGAUGGGCCCGCGGCCUAUCAGCUUGUUGGUGGGGUAAUGGCCUACCAAGGCGACGACGGGUGGCCGGCCUGAGAGGGUGACCGGCCACACUGGGACUGAGAUACGGCCCAGACUCCUACGGGAGGCAGCAGUGGGGAAUAUUGCACAAUGGGCGCAAGCCUGAUGCAGCGACGCCGCGUGAGGGAUGACGGCCUUCGGGUUGUAAACCUCUUUCAAUAGGGACGAAGCGCAAGUGACGGUACCUAUAGAAGAAGCACCGGCCAACUACGUG